GCAGCUCUCAAUCUGCAAUUGCUCGGGAUUCUGAAGGUAAUUCUAGCAUUCUCCCUAAAAUAGAACAAGUUACUUUUGAUAACAAGGAUCCUAGGGCAUGGAUCAGGAAGCGUGUGAAAUAUUUUGAAAUCUAUAAGGUUUCUAAAGAACAAAUGGUGAGUGUUGCUAGUCUUUUUAUGGUGGAAUGGGCCAAUGCAUGGUUCCAUAAUUAGGUUAAGGGAGAAAGGACUAAUGU
rnacentral:misc_RNA from 1 species